UACGUAGGGACCAAGCGUUGUUCGGAUUUACUGGGCGUAAAGGGCGCGUAGGCGGCAAUUCAAGUCAGCUGUGAAAUCUCCGGGCUUAACUCGGAACGGUCAGCUGAUACUGCUUUGCUAGAGUGCAGAAGGGGCAAUCGGGAUUCUUGGUGUAGCGGUGAAAUGCGUAGAUAUCAAGAGGAACACCUGAGGUGAAGACGGGUUGCUGGGCUGACACUGACGCUGAGGCGCGAAAGCUAGGGUAGCAAACGGG
rnacentral:rRNA from 1 species